CAAGUCGAACGAGAUCCAUGAUGUAGCAAUACAUCGGAAGAUCUAGUGGCGAACGGGUGAGGAUCACGUGAGAAACCUGCCCCAGACUCUGGGAUAACAAUUGGAAACGAUUGCUAAUACCGGAUGACGUCGGAGAACCGCAUGGUUCACUGACGAAAGAUAUUUCGGUUUGGGAGGGUCUCGCGGCCUAUCAGCUUGUUGGUGGGGUAAUGGCCUACCAAGGCAACGACGGGUAGCUGGUCUGAGAGGAUGAUCAGCCACACUGGGACUGAGACACGGCCCAGACUCCUACGGGAGGCAGCAGUGGGGAAUCUUGCGCAAUGGGCGAAAGCCUGACGCAGCAACGCCGCGUGCGGGAUGAAGGCCUUCGGGCUGUAAACCGCUUUCAGCAGGAACGAAAAUGACGGUACCUGCAGAAGAAGGAGCGGCCAACUACGUGCCAGCAGCCGCGGUGACACGUAGGCUCCAAGCGUUGUCCGGAUUUAUUGGGCGUAAAGAGCUCGUAGGCGGUUUAGUAAGUCGGGUGUGAAAACUCUGGGCUUAACCCGGAGACGCCAUCCGAUACUGCUAUGACUUGAGUUCAGGAGGGGAGCGGGGAAUUCCUAGUGUAGCGGUGAAAUGCGCAGAUAUUAGGAGGAACACCGGUGGCGAAGGCGCCGCUCUGGACUGAAACUGACGCUGAGGAGCGAAAGCAUGGGUAGCAAACAGGAUUAGAUACCCUGGUAGUCCAUGCCGUAAACGGUGGGCACUAGGUGUGGGUUCCAACUAACGGGAUCCGCGCCGUCGCUAACGCAUUAAGUGCCCCGCCUGGGGAGUACGGUCGCAAGACUAAAACUCAAAGGAAUUGACGG
rnacentral:rRNA from 1 species